CCGGAUGCUUGAUUGAACCGCAUGGUUCAAUCAUAAAAGGUGGCUUUUAGCUACCACUUACAGAUGGACCCGCGGCGCAUUAGCUAGUUGGUGAGGUAACGGCUCACCAAGGCGACGAUGCGUAGCCGACCUGAGAGGGUGAUCGGCCACACUGGGACUGAGACACGGCCCAGACUCCUACGGGAGGCAGCAGUAGGGAAUCUUCCGCAAUGGACGAAAGUCUGACGGAGCAACGCCGCGUGAGUGAUGAAGGUUUUCGGAUCGUAAAACUCUGUUGUUAGGGAAGAACAAGUACCGUUCGAAUAGGGCGGCACCUUGACGGUACCUAACCAGAAAGCCACGGCUAACUACGUGCCAGCAGCCGCGGUAAUACGUAGGUGGCAAGCGUUGUCCGGAAUUAUUGGGCGUAAAGCGCGCGCAGGCGGUUUCUUAAGUCUGAUGUGAAAGCCCCCGGCUCAACCGGGGAGGGUCAUUGGAAACUGGGGAACUUGAGUGCAGAAGAGGAGAGUGGAAUUCCACGUGUAGCGGUGAAAUGCGUAGAGAUGUGGAGGAACACCAGUGGCGAAGGCGACUCUCUGGUCUGUAACUGACGCUGAGGCGCGAAAGCGUGGGGAGCGCACCGGAUUAGAUUCCCCUGGUAGUCCACGCCGUAUAACGAUGAGUGCUAAGUGUUAGAGGGUUUCCGCCCUUUAGUGGUGCAGCCAACGCAUUAAAGCACCCCCGCCUGGGGAGUACGGUCGCAAGACUGAAACUCAAAGGAAUUGACGGGGGCCCGCACAAGCGGUGGAGCAUGUGGUUUAAUUCGAAGCAACGCGAAGAACCUUACCAGGUCUUGACAUCCUCUGACAACCCUAGAGAUAGGGCUUCCCCUUCGGGGGCAGAGUGACAGGUGGUGCAUGGUUGUCGUCAGCUCGUGUCGUGAGAUGUUGGGUUAAGUCCCGCAACGAGCGCAACCCUUGAUCUUAGUUGCCAGCAUUCAGUUGGGCACUCUAAGGUGACUGCCGGUGACAAACCGGAGGAAGGUGGGGAUGACGUCAAAUCAUCAUGCCCCUUAUGACCUGGGCUACACACGUGCUACAAUGGGCAGAACAAAGGGCAGCGAAGCCGCGAGGCUAAGCCAAUCCCACAAAUCUGUUCUCAGUUCGGAUCGCAGUCUGCAACUCGACUGCGUGAA
rnacentral:rRNA from 2 species